rnacentral:lncRNA from 1 species
UCCUCAUAAAAUAUUAUUAAAAAUCUCUGAUAAAUUUGUAGUUAAGACACCAUAGCGCAGGCCAUCAUCAUGUGCCAAUAUCCAUUUCUCCUUUUCUAUCUCGGACAACCAGCUCCAAGCCUCUUCAUUCACUGUUCUGAUCCUACCCAUUACUUGAUGAAUACUUCCUGCUUGCCAUACUGCUCUUUUUAGUUGCACAUUUUUAAAAUGAGUGUUGAAAUUACUGCAGAUAUGUCUUAAGC